AUUUUUACUGCUGUCACGUGGUCCUCUGUUGGAGUUUUAUUUACGACGAAUGUCAAGGCCAUCGCCAUUGCUAUUAUAGUCAGCUUCG